AGUGAGCGCUGGCGGUAGGUCUAACACAUGCAAGUCGAACGGCAGCACAGUAAGAGCUUGCUCUUACGGGUGGCGAGUGGCGGACGGGUGAGGAAUACAUCGGAAUCUACUUUUUCGUGGGGGAUAACGUAGGGAAACUUACGCUAAUACCGCAUACGACCUACGGGUGAAAGCAGGGGAUCUUCGGACCUUGCGCGAUUGAAUGAGCCGAUGUCGGAUUAGCUAGUUGGCGGGGUAAAGGCCCACCAAGGCGACGAUCCGUAGCUGGUCUGAGAGGAUGAUCAGCCACACUGGAACUGAGACACGGUCCAGACUCCUACGGGAGGCAGCAGUGGGGAAUAUUGGACAAUGGGCGCAAGCCUGAUCCAGCCAUACCGCGUGGGUGAAGAAGGCCUUCGGGUUGUAAAGCCCUUUUGUUGGGAAAGAAAAGCAGCAGGUUAAUACCCCGCUGUUCUGACGGUACCCAAAGAAUAAGCACCGGCUAACUUCGUG
rnacentral:rRNA from 1 species